rnacentral:rRNA from 1 species
GAUUAAGUUAUUAAGGGCGCACGGUGGAUGCCUUGGCACUAGAAGCCGAUGAAGGACGUUACUAACGACGAUAUGCUUUGGGGAGCUGUAAGUAAGCUUUGAUCCAGAGAUUUCCGAAUGGGGAAACCCAGCAUGAGUUAUGUCAUGUUAUCGAUAUGUGAAUACAUAGCAUAUCAGAAGGCACACCCGGAGAACUGAAACAUCUUAGUACCCGGAGGAAGAGAAAGAAAAUUCGAUUCCCUUAGUAGCGGCGAGCGAAACGGGAAGAGCCCAAACCAACAAGCUUGCUUGUUGGGGUUGUAGGACACUCUAUACGGAGUUACAAAGGACGACAUUAGACGAAUCAUCUGGAAAGAUGAAUCAAAGAAGGUAAUAAUCCUGUAGUCGAAAAUGUUGUCUCUCUUGAGUGGAUCCUGAGUACGACGGAGCACGUGAAAUUCCGUCGGAAUCUGGGAGGACCAUCUCCUAAGGCUAAAUACUCUCUAGUGACCGAUAGUGAACCAGUACCGUGAGGGAAAGGUGAAAAGCACCCCGGAAGGGGAGUGAAAUAGAACCUGAAACCGUGUGCUUACAAGUAGUCAGAGCCCGUUAAUGGGUGAUGGCGUGCCUUUUGUAGAAUGAACCGGCGAGUUACGAUUUGAUGCAAGGUUAAGCAGUAAAUGUGGAGCCGUAGCGAAAGCGAGUCUGAAUAGGGCGUUUAGUAUUUGGUCGUAGACCCGAAACCAGGUGAUCUACCCUUGGUCAGGUUGAAGUUCAGGUAACACUGAAUGGAGGACCGAACCGACUUACGUUGAAAAGUGAGCGGAUGAACUGAGGGUAGCGGAGAAAUUCCAAUCGAACCUGGAGAUAGCUGGUUCUCUCCGAAAUAGCUUUAGGGCUAGCCUCAAGUGAUGAUUAUUGGAGGUAGAGCACUGUUUGGACGAGGGGCCCCUCUCGGGUUACCGAAUUCAGACAAACUCCGAAUGCCAAUUAAUUUAACUUGGGAGUCAGAACAUGGGUGAUAAGGUCCGUGUUCGAAAGGGAAACAGCCCAGACCACCAGCUAAGGUCCCAAAAUAUAUGUUAAGUGGAAAAGGAUGUGGCGUUGCCCAGACAACUAGGAUGUUGGCUUAGAAGCAGCCAUCAUUUAAAGAGUGCGUAAUAGCUCACUAGUCGAGUGACACUGCGCCGAAAAUGUACCGGGGCUAAACAUAUUACCGAAGCUGUGGAUUGUCCUUUGGACAAUGGUAGGAGAGCGUUCUAAGGGCGUUGAAGCAUGAUCGUAAGGACAUGUGGAGCGCUUAGAAGUGAGAAUGCCGGUGUGAGUAGCGAAAGACGGGUGAGAAUCCCGUCCACCGAUUGACUAAGGUUUCCAGAGGAAGGCUCGUCCGCUCUGGGUUAGUCGGGUCCUAAGCUGAGGCCGACAGGCGUAGGCGAUGGAUAACAGGUUGAUAUUCCUGUACCACCUAUAAUCGUUUUAAUCGAUGGGGGGACGCAGUAGGAUAGGCGAAGCGUGCGAUUGGAUUGCACGUCUAAGCAGUAAGGCUGAGUAUUAGGCAAAUCCGGUACUCAUUAAGGCUGAGCUGUGAUGGGGAGAAGACAUUGUGUCUUCGAGUCGUUGAUUUCACACUGCCGAGAAAAGCCUCUAGAUAGAAAAUAGGUGCCCGUACCGCAAACCGACACAGGUAGUCAAGAUGAGAAUUCUAAGGUGAGCGAGCGAACUCUCGUUAAGGAACUCGGCAAAAUGACCCCGUAACUUCGGGAGAAGGGGUGCUCUUUAGGGUUAACGCCCAGAAGAGCCGCAGUGAAUAGGCCCAAGCGACUGUUUAUCAAAAACACAGGUCUCUGCUAAACCGUAAGGUGAUGUAUAGGGGCUGACGCCUGCCCGGUGCUGGAAGGUUAAGAGGAGUGGUUAGCUUCUGCGAAGCUACGAAUCGAAGCCCCAGUAAACGGCGGCCGUAACUAUAACGGUCCUAAGGUAGCGAAAUUCCUUGUCGGGUAAGUUCCGACCCGCACGAAAGGCGUAACGAUUUGGGCACUGUCUCAACGAGAGACUCGGUGAAAUCAUAGUACCUGUGAAGAUGCAGGUUACCCGCGACAGGACGGAAAGACCCCGUGGAGCUUUACUGUAGCCUGAUAUUGAAAUUCGGCACAGCUUGUACAGGAUAGGUAGGAGCCUUUGAAACGUGAGCGCUAGCUUACGUGGAGGCGCUGGUGGGAUACUACCCUAGCUGUGUUGGCUUUCUAACCCGCACCACUUAUCGUGGUGGGAGACAGUGUCAGGCGGGCAGUUUGACUGGGGCGGUCGCCUCCUAAAAGGUAACGGAGGCGCUCAAAGGUUCCCUCAGAAUGGUUGGAAAUCAUUCAUAGAGUGUAAAGGCAUAAGGGAGCUUGACUGCGAGACCUACAAGUCGAGCAGGGUCGAAAGACGGACUUAGUGAUCCGGUGGUUCCGUAUGGAAGGGCCAUCGCUCAACGGAUAAAAGCUACCCCGGGGAUAACAGGCUUAUCUCCCCCAAGAGUUCACAUCGACGGGGAGGUUUGGCACCUCGAUGUCGGCUCAUCGCAUCCUGGGGCUGUAGUCGGUCCCAAGGGUUGGGCUGUUCGCCCAUUAAAGCGGUACGCGAGCUGGGUUCAGAACGUCGUGAGACAGUUCGGUCCCUAUCCGUCGUGGGCGUAGGAAAUUUGAGAGGAGCUGUCCUUAGUACGAGAGGACCGGGAUGGACAUACCUCUGGUGUACCAGUUGUCGUGCCAACGGCAUAGCUGGGUAGCUAUGUGUGGACGGGAUAAGUGCUGAAAGCAUCUAAGCAUGAAGCCCCCCUCAAGAUGAGAUUUCCCAACUUCGGUUAUAAGAUCCCUCAAAGAUGAUGAGGUUAAUAGGUUCGAGGUGGAAGCAUGGUGACAUGUGGAGCUGACGAAUACUAAUCGAUCGAAGACUUAAUCAA